AUUGAAAGCUGGCGGCCGGCCUAACACAUGCAAGUCGAGCGGAGAGGCGGGCGGGUGAGUACUGCCUAGGAAUCUGCCUGGUAGUGGGGGAUAACGUCCGGAAACGGGCGCUAUUACCGAAUACUAUCAGACGAGCCUAGGUCGGAUUAGCUAGUUGGAGGGGUAAAGGCCUACCACGGCGACGAUCCGUAACUGGUCUGGGAGGAUGAGCAGUCACGCUGGAACUGGUACACGGGCCAAACUCCUACGGGAGGCAGCAGUGGGGAAUGUUGGACAAUGGGCUAAAGCCUGAUCCAGCCAUGCCGCGCGUGUGAAGAAGGUCUUCGGAUUGUAAAGCACUUUAAGUUGGGAGGCGUUACCAACAGAAUAAGCACCGGCGAACUGCGUGCCAGCAGCCGCGGUAAUUC
rnacentral:rRNA from 1 species